GACGAACGCUGGCGGCGUGCUUAACACAUGCAAGUCGAACGGUAAGGCCCUUCGGGGUACACGAGUGGCGAACGGGUGAGUAACACGUGGGUGAUCUGCCCUGCACUUCGGGAUAAGCUUGGGAAACUGGGUCUAAUACCGGAUAGGACCCUGGGAUGCAUGUCCUGGGGUGGAAAGCUUUUGCGGUGUGGGAUGGGCCCGCGGCCUAUCAGCUUGUUGGUGGGGUGAUGGCCUACCAAGGCGACGACGGGUAGCCGGCCUGAGAGGGUGACCGGCCAGACUGGGACUGAGAUACGGCCCAGACUCCUACGGGAGGCAGCAGUGGGGAAUAUUGCACAAUGGGCGCAAGCCUGAUACAGCGACGCCGCGUGAGGGAUGACGGCCUUCGGGUUGUAAACCUCUUUCAGCACCGACGAAGCGCAAGUGACGGUAGGUGCAGAAGAAGGACCGGCCAACUACGUGCCAGCCGCCGCCGUAA
rnacentral:rRNA from 1 species